rnacentral:tRNA from 2 species
GGACCACUAGCUCAGUCGGUAGAGCACCUGACUUUUAAUCAGGUUGUCGGGGGUUCGAAUCCCCCGUGGUUCA